rfam:Asian citrus Psyllid, Diaphorina citri - Florida Strain, whole genome shotgun sequence.
AUCAGCAGUGAUAGCACGUUCCAUGCACCAGUUCCCAAAAGAUCACUGGAGCAACGUUACGCAUGGUUAGUAUCCGGAUGGAUGACCAUUUGGACAAUCGCGUACUGCUUUUC